rnacentral:rRNA from 1 species
GGAUUAGAUACCCUGGUAGUCCAUGCCGUAAACGUUGGGAACUAGAUGUAGGGCCUGUUCCACGGGUUCUGUGUCGUAGCUAACGCAUUAAGUUCCCCGCCUGGGGAGUACGGCCGCAAGGCUAAAACUCAAAGGAAUUGACGGGGGCCCGCACAAGCGGCGGAGCAUGCGGAUUAAUUCGAUGCAACGCGAAGAACCUUACCAAGGCUUGACAUAUACGAGAACGGGCGAGAGAUCGUCAACUCUUUGGACACUCGUAUACAGGUGGUGCAUGGUUGUCGUCAGCUCGUGCCG